AGACAAAUGCAUGGUUUGCCUUAUCAUUCCAGCUUCAUAAUUCACUUUCUUUGAAAGUUACAUAUGCAAAGAAAAAAAGAAAAACAAAAAUAGUUCCGGUGCCGGGAUUCGAACCCGGAAACUCAUAUCCAAGUGAGAAAUUCGUUGAGCUACACCGGAUGAUGUGAUUAAUAUAGAUUUUGAGCUUUAUUUAUUCUAUUAAGUCUCUCACCCACCUAUACUGAACAAACUGAUCACAUAAGAAGCACAGUGGUAUUGGGUUGCAACUCCAUUAGCAAAAGGAAAUAGUUCAAGUAGAUUUUGGGCGCUUCACUCUUCACUGCAAAUGUCAUCUCUUGGAGAAGACAACCCCAACGAUGAUACCCUUAUGUUUAUGGAUCUUGCUUUAGAACAGGCAAAGCUAGCUUUGGACAGCCUUGAAGUUCCUGUCGGCUGUGUGAUUGUUGAAGAUGGAAAGGUUAUAGCGUCUGGAAGGAAUCGGACUAACGAGACACGAAAUGCUACAAGGCAUGCAGAAAUGGAAGCCAUUGAUACUCUUCUUGAGCAGUGGAGAGAAAAGAGGCUUUCAACUUCAGAAGUUGCGGAAAUCUUUUCAAAAUGUAACCUCUAUGUUACAUGUGAACCAUGCAUAAUGUGUGCAGCAGCUUUAUCAAUUGUUGGUAUCAAGGAAGUAUUUUAUGGCUGUGCCAAUGACAAAUUUGGUGGGUGCGGAUCAAUACUGUCGCUGCAUUCAAGUAGCUCUGAGGCACUCAUGAGGUUGUUAUCUGAACUUAACACAUGGUGGAGUACCACAGGGGAAAGGUUUCAAAUGCACUGGAGGGAUAAUGGCAUCAGAAGCAGUCUCUCUUUUCCGCAAUUUUUACGAGCAAGGAAACCCUAAUGCUCCAAAGCCUCAUAGACCUCUGACUCACCAGGCCAUACAAUGAAUAUGAACGGAUUUGGUGCAAUCAGAAUACCAAGUUUAAUUAACUUGGUCAACUAACCAAAAGAACCGAGUUAUUAAAUAGUUUUUAAUGUUUGCCAAAAGGGAUGAAGAUGAAAAUUGGGAAGUUCAGGAGAGAAGGCACCCCGGGAGGGGAUGUAGCUGAAAGUUUCUUCACGUACUUGAAAGUUUCUCUGUUUACUUAAACUAUUCAUUAAUGGAAAAGCUCUCUUGAGUUUGAGACUUGGUUUUUCUGUUUGUAUUUUGUUUUCAUUGCCAUUAUUAUUACAACCUAA